AGUAUUCCUCCAAACUUGAAAAACUACAGACCAUAUUGGAGCAUUUACAAAGGGUGGAAGAGUUCAAGUUCGUCUCAAAUCUCAAGAAGUUAGAGAAAAAACAAGGAAGACAGUAUGGCUGCUAGUGGAAUGCAACUAAAAAUACAGUGCUAGGACAAAGAAAGAUAUCUUGACUUGACAUUGGUUGGAUGGAAGGAAAAUGAGUAAGGCACCAAUGAUGAAGCCAGACUGGGAACCAAUAGGCAGAACCAAAGAACCAACUGUGGUUCAUGAAGCUCAAGGAGAUAAGAAGAAACAGGAAAAGAUCAAUGCAUUGCUAGGAGGCAGAUACUUCCCUUUCUUUAUACUUACAAAAAACGAGUUGCAGAAGGAAAUGGCAAACCACUCUAGUAUCUCUGCCAAGAAAACAUCAAAUGGAAUCAUGAAGAAUUAGACACAACUGAAAAACAAUGAAGACAACAACAAAUAAAAUUAGGAUAAUAGUAGCA
rnacentral:lncRNA from 1 species